AGAGUUUGAUCAUGGCUCAGAAUGAACGCUGGCGGCGUGCCUUACACAUGCAAGUCGAGCGAGGCGGGUAGCAAUACCCAGUCGAGCGGCGAACGGGUGAGUAACACGUGGAUGACCUGCCCUUCAGCGGGGAAUAACCCGGGGAAACUCGGGCUAAUACCGCAUACGAUCGAGAGAUGAAAGGGGGCUCGCAAGAGCUUUCACUGAAGGAGGGGUCCGCGUCCGAUUAGCUAGUUGGUAGGGUAAUGGCCUACCAAGGCGACGAUCGGUAGCCGGCCUGAGAGGGUGAUCGGCCACACUGGAACUGAGACACGGUCCAGACUCCUACGGGAGGCAGCAGUGGGGAAUUUUGCGCAAUGGGCGGAAGCCUGACGCAGCAACGCCGCGUGGAGGAUGAAGGUCCUUGGAUUGUAAACUCCUGUCAGCGGGGAAAAAGCGACUGGACCUAAUACGUCCGGGAGUUGAUUGUACCCGCAGAGGAAGCCCCGGCUAACUCUGUGCCAGCAGCCGCGGUAAUACAGAGGGGGCGAGCGUUAUUCGGAAUUAUUGGGCG
rnacentral:rRNA from 1 species